rnacentral:rRNA from 1 species
GUUGUAUGGUUAAGUGACUAAGCGUACACGGUGGAUGCCUUGGCAGUCAGAGGCGAUGAAGGACGUAUUAACUUGCGAUAAGCCCAGAUUAGGUAGUAAAAACCAUUUGAGUCUGGGAUUUCCGAAUGGGGAAACCCACUAGCAUAAGCUGGUAUCGCUGCGUGAAUACAUAGCGCAGCGAGGCGAACCGGGGGAACUGAAACAUCUAAGUACCCCGAGGAAAAGAAAUCAACCGAGAUUCCGAAAGUAGCGGCGAGCGAAAUUGGACUAGCCCUUAAGCUUUUUAUGCGUCAGGUGAAACUUCUGGAAAGUUGUGCGAUACAGGGUGAUAGCCCCGUAACCGGCAACGCAUUUUAAGUGAAAUCGAGUAGGGCGGGACACGUGAUAUCCUGUCUGAAUAUGGGGGGACCAUCCUCCAAGGCUAAAUACUACUGACUGACCGAUAGUGAACCAGUACCGUGAGGGAAAGGCGAAAAGAACCCCUGUGAGGGGAGUGAAAUAGAACCUGAAACCGUGUACGUACAAGCAGUAGGAGCACCUUCGUGGUGUGACUGCGUACCUUUUGUAUAAUGGGUCAGCGACUUAUAUUCAGUGGCAAGGUUAACCAUCUAGGGGAGCCGUAGGGAAACCGAGUCUUAACUGGGCGUUCAGUCUCUGGAUAUAGACCCGAAACCAGGUGAUCUAGCCAUGGGCAGGUUGAAGGUUGAGUAACAUCAACUGGAGGACCGAACCGACUAAUGUUGAAAAAUUAGCGGAUGACUUGUGGCUAGGGGUGAAAGGCCAAUCAAACCUGGAGAUAGCUGGUUCUCCCCGAAAGCUAUUUAGGUAGCGCCUCGGACGAAUACUACUGGGGGUAGAGCACUGUUAAGGCUAGGGGGUCAUCCCGACUUACCAACCCUUUGCAAACUCCGAAUACCAGUAAGUACUAUCCGGGAGACACACGGCGGGUGCUAACGUCCGUCGUGGAGAGGGAAACAACCCAGACCGCCAGCUAAGGUCCCAAAUUACUACUAAGUGGGAAACGAUGUGGGAAGGCUCAGACAGCCAGGAUGUUGGCUUAGAAGCAGCCAUCAUUUAAAGAAAGCGUAAUAGCUCACUGGUCGAGUCGGCCUGCGCGGAAGAUGUAACGGGGCUAAGUAGUAAACCGAAGCUGCGGCAAUGCACUUUAGUGCAUUGGGUAGGGGAGCGUUCUGUAAGCGGUUGAAGGUGUGUGGUAACGCAUGCUGGACGUAUCAGAAGUGCGAAUGCUGACAUGAGUAACGAUAAAGGGGGUGAAAAACCUCCUCGCCGGAAGACCAAGGGUUCCUGUCCAACGUUAAUCGGGGCAGGGUAAGUCGACCCCUAAGGCGAGGCCGAAAGGCGUAGUCGAUGGGAAACGGGUUAAUAUUCCCGUACUUCUUACAAUUGCGAUGGGGGACGGAGAAGGCUAGGUGGGCCUGGCGACGGUUGUCCAGGUUCAAGUGCGUAGGCUGAGAAAUUAGGUAAAUCCGGUUUCUCUUAAGGCUGAGACACGACGUCGAGCUACUACGGUAGUGAAGUCAUUGAUGCCAUGCUUCCAGGAAAAGCCUCUAAGCUUCAGAUUGUAAGGAAUCGUACCCCAAACCGACACAGGUGGUCGGGUAGAGAAUACCAAGGCGCUUGAGAGAACUCGGGUGAAGGAACUAGGCAAAAUGGUACCGUAACUUCGGGAGAAGGUACGCUCUCGACGGUGAAGUCCCUCGCGGAUGGAGCUAUUGAGAGUCGCAGAUACCAGGUGGCUGCAACUGUUUAUUAAAAACACAGCACUGUGCAAAAUCGUAAGAUGACGUAUACGGUGUGACGCCUGCCCGGUGCCGGAAGGUUAAUUGAUGGGGUUAGACUUCGGUCGAAGCUCUUGAUCGAAGCCCCGGUAAACGGCGGCCGUAACUAUAACGGUCCUAAGGUAGCGAAAUUCCUUGUCGGGUAAGUUCCGACCUGCACGAAUGGCGUAAUGAUGGCCACGCUGUCUCCACCCGAGACUCAGUGAAAUUGAAAUCGCUGUGAAGAUGCAGUGUACCCGCGGCUAGACGGAAAGACCCCGUGAACCUUUACUACAGCUUGGCACUGAACAUUGACCCUACAUGUGUAGGAUAGGUGGGAGGCUUUGAAACUAGUACGCCAGUAUUAGUGGAGCCGUCCUUGAAAUACCACCCUUGUAGUGUUGAUGUUCUAACGUUGACCCCUUAUCGGGGUUGCGGACAGUGCCUGGUGGGUAGUUUGACUGGGGCGGUCUCCUCCCAAAGCGUAACGGAGGAGCACGAAGGUGGGCUAAUCACGGUUGGACAUCGUGAGGUUAGUGCAAUGGCAUAAGCCCGCUUGACUGCGAGAAUGACAAUUCGAGCAGGUGCGAAAGCAGGUCAUAGUGAUCCGGUGGUUCUGAAUGGAAGGGCCAUCGCUCAACGGAUAAAAGGUACUCCGGGGAUAACAGGCUGAUACCGCCCAAGAGUUCAUAUCGACGGCGGUGUUUGGCACCUCGAUGUCGGCUCAUCACAUCCUGGGGCUGAAGUCGGUCCCAAGGGUAUGGCUGUUCGCCAUUUAAAGUGGUACGCGAGCUGGGUUUAGAACGUCGUGAGACAGUUCGGUCCCUAUCUGCCGUGGGCGUUGGAAGAUUGAAGGGGGCUGCUCCUAGUACGAGAGGACCGGAGUGGACGAACCUCUGGUGUUCGGGUUGUGUCGCCAGACGCAUUGCCCGGUAGCUAAGUUCGGAAUCGAUAACCGCUGAAAGCAUCUAAGCGGGAAGCGAGCCCUGAGAUGAGUCUUCCCUGAUACUUUAAGUAUCCUAAAGGGUUGUUCGAGACUAGAACGUUGAUAGGCAGGGUGUGUAAGCGUUGUGAGGCGUUGAGCUAACCUGUACUAAUUGCCCGUGAGGCUUAACCAUACAACACCCAAGGGGUUU